CGGACGGGUGAGUAAUGUCUGGGAACUGCCUGAUGGAGGGGGAUAACUACUGGAAACGGUAGCUAAUACCGCAUAACGUCGCAAGACCAAAGAGGGGGACCUUCGGGCCUCUUGCCAUCGGAUGUGCCCAGAUGGGAUUAGCUAGUAGGUGGGGUAACGGCUCACCUAGGCGACGAUCCCUAGCUGGUCUGAGAGGAUGACCAGCCACACUGGAACUGAGACACGGUCCAG
rnacentral:rRNA from 1 species